CAUGAAGCUGGAUUCGCUAGUAAUCGCGCAUCAGCCACGGCGCGGUGAAUACGUUCCCGGGCCUUGUACACACCGCCCGUCAAGCCAUGGAAGCCGGGAGUGCCUGAAGUGCGUGAGCGCAAGCAGCGCCCUAAGGUAAAACCGGUGACUGGGGCUAAGUCGUAACAAGGUACC
rnacentral:rRNA from 1 species